rnacentral:rRNA from 1 species
AGAGUUUGAUCCUGGCUCAGGACGAACGCUGGCGGCGUGGAUUAGGCAUGCAAGUCGAGCGACGGACAGUCUUCGGACUGUUACGGAGCGGCGAACGGGUGAGUAACACGUGAAUAACCUGCCCAUAUGUUCCGGAUAAUUGGUCGAAAGACCUUGUAAUACGGGGGAGGAUCGGUUUUUGGCAUCUUAGACCGAGGGAAGUCGCAAGACGCAUAUGGAGGGGUUCGCGGAUUAUCAGGUAGUUGGUGGGGUAACGGCCUACCAAGCCUACGACGAUUAGCUGGUCUGAGAGGAUGGUCAGCCACAUUGGAACUGAGACACUGUCCAGACUCCUACGGGAGGCUGCAGUCGAGAAUCUUGGUCAAUGCACGAAAGUGUGAACCAGCGACGCCGCGUGAAGGAUGAAGGCCCUCUGGGUCGUAAACUUCUUUUACGGGAGAAGAACACAAUGACGGUAUCCCGUGAAUAAGCCACGGCUAACUACGUGCCAGCAGCCGCGGUAAUACGUAGGUGGCAAGCGUUGUCCGGAUUUACUGGGCGUAAAGCGAACGCAGGCGGAUCUUUAAGUAGGAAGUGAAAGGUUGGAGCUCAACUCUAACACUGCUCCCUAUACUGGAGAUCUUGAGUGCCGGAGAGGAAAACGGAACAAGUUGUGUAGCGGUGAAAUGCGUUGAUAUAACUUGGAACACCAAUGGCGAAAGCAGUUUUCUGGACGGAUACUGACGCUCAUGUUCGAAAGCCAAGGUAGCAAACAGGAUUAGAUACCCCCGUAGUCC